rnacentral:rRNA from 1 species
UGACCUCAAAUCAGGUAGGAUUACCCGCUGAACUUAAGCAUAUCAAUAAGCGGAGGAAAAGAAACUAAC